CUGGAGACAGGUGCUGCAUGGCUGUCGUCAGCUCGUGUCGUGAGAUGUUGGGUUAAGUCCCGCAACGAGCGCAACCCUUGCCUUUAGUUGCCAGCAGUUCGGCUGGGCGACUCUAAAGGGAACUGCCGGUGUUAAACCGGAGGAAGGUGGGGAUGACGUCAAGUCCUCAUGGCCUUUAUGACCAGGGCUACACACGUACUACAAUGGCCGAUACAAAGGGCAGCGACACUGCGAGGUGAAGCCAAUCCCGUAAAAUCGGUCUCAGUCCGGAUUGGAGUCUGCAACUCGACUCCAUGAAGUUGGAAUCGCUAGUAAUCGUGGAUCAGCAUGCCACGGUGAAUACGUUCCCGGGCCUU
rnacentral:rRNA from 1 species